CCUACGGGUGGCAGCAGUGGGGAAUAUUGGACAAUGGGCGAAAGCCUGAUCCAGCCAUGCCGCGUGUGUGAAGAAGGCCUUCGGGUUGUAAAGCACUUUCAGUGGGGAAGAAAGCCUUGGGGCUAAUACCCUCGAGGAAGGACAUCACCCACAGAAGAAGCACCGGCUAACUCCGUGCCAGCAGCCGCGGUAAUACGGAGGGUGCGAGCGUUAAUCGGAAUUACUGGGCGUAAAGCGCGCGUAGGCGGUCUGAUAAGCCGGUUGUGAAAGCCCCGGGCUCAACCUGGGAACGGCAUCCGGAACUGGCAGGCUAGAGUGCAGGAGAGGAAGGUAGAAAUCCCGGUGUAGCGGUGAAAUGCGUAGAGAUCGGGAGGAAUACCAGUGGCGAAGGCGGCCUUCUGGACUGACACUGACGCUGAGGUGCGAAAGCGUGGGUAGCAAACAGGAUUAGAUACCCGAGUAGUC
rnacentral:rRNA from 1 species